GCGAGCGUUGUCCGGAAUCACUGGGCGUAAAGGGCGCGUAGGCGGCCUGAUAAGUAGGGGGUGAAAUCCUGCGGCUUAACCGCAGGGCUGCCUUCUAAACUGUCAGGCUCGAGCACAGUAGAGGCAGGUGGAAUUCUCGGUGUAGCGGUGGAAUGCGUAGAGAUCGGGAAGAACAUCAGUGGCGAAGGCGGCCUGCUGGGCUGUUGCUGACGCUGAGGCGCGACAGCGUGGGGAGCAAACAGG
rnacentral:rRNA from 1 species